rnacentral:lncRNA from 1 species
UAUGAACAUGUAUGUAUCCACUAUAGAAUUUAUGAAAUUGUCACAAAAAUAAUUCAAUGAUAACUUUGGUUAGAACAGUUAAUGUAAAUUUGCCAUAAGCAAGGUGAUUAAUUAUAUAAAUUAGAACUAAUUACAAAUAACAUUGGUUAAGUGGUUCAACUAGAUUGUGUAAACUAUGCAAACAAAAUAAUAAAAUUAUUCUUCAUACUAUUAUAUAGUGUGAUAAAUAAGAUUAAAUAAGUACAAAAAAUUGGCAUUAAAUUAUUUAUUUAUUUGCCCCUAGUCCCCAUUUUUUGGCUGUGCAUAAGAAUGUCACUACAAGGGUAUGUACUGUUGUAGUUAAAAGUCAUGGCUACUGGCAUCUUUGAAGAACCGUAUAUACUGAUGUAUCUCAUGUCAUUGAUGUUGAUGCUGAAGUCUGCAUGCAAAUAAUACAGUGAGAAUGUGUAAUGUCCAAGAUGCGGUACUAUCAUAAUCAUGGCUCAAGGCCUCGAUAGAGAUAGAAGCGCAUCUCGUCGUUUCGCAUGAAUAGUUAUCAUCGCACAUACAUUUAAAGAGGAUAUGCGUAUAUGGAGUUGGCUUACCCUCACCGCAAGUUAAAUCAUCAUCAUGCAAAUACAACCAUCCAUACAAUCAUCCGGAAGAACAUGGUAUAACUACAUACGAAACCAAAUGAUAAAAAAGAGAUAGACACCUAUCCCGCUAAUCCUAGGAAGCCGACCAAGUAUCCACCAAAUCGUCUCGAUAUGUAACGUACAUAAGCCCAGGCUCCUUGUCAUACUCCCACUAGAGUGUGGAGGCAUCAUCUGGAUUGAUCUUAUCUGUACCUGUACAUGUUGUGUUGUAUUAACCUAUGAGCCACGGAGACUCAGCAAUCUCAUCACCCAAGGUACCGAGUCUAAUUAAGCUUAAUAGGUCACUACUGGAAAACAGUUUUUUGCCAUCUGCCUAGUCUUUGCCGUCUGCUAGCUGAUGACAAAGAGUGUCUUUGCCGUCAGCUUCAGCAAAACAGGCGGCAAAGCACAGGCUGAUGGCAUAAAGUUUUUUU